ensembl:misc_RNA Y_RNA Y RNA
GGUUAGUCCGAGUGCAGUGGUGUUUACAACUAAUUGAUCACAACCAGUUAUAGAUUCUUUUGUUCCUUCUCCACUUCCACUGCUUCACUUGACCAGCCUUUA